rnacentral:rRNA from 1 species
AUUGAACGCUGGCGGCAGGCCUAACACAUGCAAGUCGAGCGGAUGAAUGGUGCUUGCUCCUGGAUUCAUCGGCGGACGGGUGUGUAAUGCCUAUGAAUCUGCCUUGUAUUGGUGGAUAACGUCCUGAAACGGGCUCUUAUACCGCAUCCGUCCUUUUUUUGAAAUUUGUUGAUCUUCGGUCCUCACGCUUUCAUAUGUUCCUAGUUCGGAUUAGCUAGUUGGUUGGGUAAAGGCCUACCAAGGCUACGAUCCGUAACUGGUCUGAGAGGAUGAUCAGUCACACUGGAAGGGAGACACGGAACAGACAACUACGGGAGGAAGCAGUGGGGAAUAUUGGACAAAGGGCGAAAGGAUGAUAGAGGAAAGCCGCGUGUGUGAAGAAGGACUUAGGAUUGUAAAGCAAUUUAAGUUGGAAGGAAGGGAAGUAAGUUAAUACCUUGCUGUAAUGACGUUACCAAAAGAAUAAGCACCGGCUAACUUCGUG